AGCUAAACAUACAGGACUGGAGCAGAACAACUCCAGAAGAAAUGUAAUGACCUCCAUCCGGUGACAAGCUGCUGUAAUGCUGGAACUGUAUGAUCUGCCAGUAAAGAAUUAAAAAAAAAUCUGCCUAUUAUAUUACUGGUUGCGAGAUGCCAAUGAGAGCAAGGAGAACAAUGAGAGCUGCCCAAUGAAGAAACAACUUUGAAGCAUAGGAAAAUACUCCUAUUUUUUAUUCAUAUUAUGGUUGGACUGGUUAUGCUUGACCAAACUUUCUUCUAUAUCCUUGGCUGUUGCACAUCUGAGCAUAUUG